CCUACGGGAGGCAGCAGUGGGGAAUUUUGGACAAUGGGCGCAAGCCUGAUCCAGCAAUGCCGCGUGAGUGAAGAAGGCCUUCGGGUUGUAAAGCUCUUUUGUCAGGGAAGAAACGGUCUACUCUAAUACAGUGGGCUAAUGACGGUACCUGAAGAAUAAGCACCGGCUAACUACGUGCCAGCAGCCGCGGUAAUACGUAGGGUGCAAGCGUUAAUCGGAAUUACUGGGCGUAAAGCGUGCGCAGGCGGUUAUAUAAGUCAGAUGUGAAAUCCCCGGGCUCAACCUGGGAACUGCAUUUGAGACUGUAUGGCUAGAGUGUGUCAGAGGGGGGUAGAAUUCCACGUGUAGCAGUGAAAUGCGUAGAUAUGUGGAGGAAUACCGAUGGCGAAGGCAGCCCCCUGGGAUAACACUGACGCUCAUGCACGAAAGCGUGGGGAGCAAACAGGAUUAGAUACCCUGGUAGUCCACGCCCUAAACGAUGUCUACUAGUUGUCGGGACUUAAUUGUCUUGGUAACGCAGCUAACGCGUGAAGUAGACCGCCUGGGGAGUCGGUCGCAAGNUUAAAACUUAAAGGAAUUGACGGCUGAGACNGCGAGACGACGAGAGGAGGAG
rnacentral:rRNA from 1 species